AGCCUACACGGCGACAAGGACUUUGGCCGGGGGCUUCUCUGCCCGACUGGUGAACGGUGAUCCAAGAUCUGACUCAGCAAAAAAAAAAAAAAAAACUGAACGACUUCACGACUGAAAGUAGGCGACAUCAUCUUGGUCAGGACCGUUGCGACUUGGGAGUGCGAACGUCGACGAAGCUGAGUUUGUUGCUACUUUUUUUUUUAGCUUUGCGGGAGGUAAGGUCCUUUUCUCUGUCCGCUGGGAGCGCCUCCAGACUGCGCCAGCGCCUAAAAGCUGGGGCACACUCGCUCACCAUGAGCUGCGGUUUGAGCGGUGAUUCACAGGACGUCUCCGUGAUGUGUGAGUUGUAAAGGCGACCAGAUGUGGCGCUCAAAGUUCUGAGAGGACUUUAUGAAUCACCCGCUCCCUCUGCGAGACAGAGGUUACUCGUUUGCUGACUGCGGCAGGACAGAGUCCAGCUGAAGGAAACUGAAACUCGACUCAUCGACUUCUUAGUCAGGCCAUUCAGUUAAAUCUACUGAUGUGUCCGUCGUGAUGUACUAUAUGGAAGAUGACAGCGAAACUCUGAUUACGUCGUUUCUAGUCGAAAUCGUCAGCACUUUCGUAAUAAUGCUGUAGGCCUACUGCCUUAGCUACAUGGAGAAUGCCACAGGAAUAAGCCGAACACUCCCACACUGUCAGAAGAAAGCCCACUGGAGUUCAAUAAAUCAAUCAAUAAUACAAUCACUUAUUCCACUUGUCAACUGGAAGAAUGACCUCAACAAGCACCGGACUUAGGAAUGGAUCCGUUACUGAUGUGGUACCCACACAAGAAGUGCCAGAUCAGGGGUGUAGCCCAUUCACGCCAGACUCGGAUGUAACUAAUAUGAUAAUGUAUCCACAACAUUAAAGGGGCCAAUAUCCGGACCAGAGCGGUGCUUCGAAGGACAUCUACUGACUCAUUCAAGUGUUGCUCGGACACUUUGGACGUGCUUUAAGGGUAUUUGGGCUAUAAAACGAAUUUUUAAAAACACGACCGACCUGUCGACGGAUACUUUCGGCAGGAGCAGAAAUGGGAAAACAGGCACGAGGAGAUAGGCCACUCCUUUCUCCACUGGGUAGAGAAA
ensembl:lncRNA